CUGAGGGAGCUUGCUCCCAAAGAUUAGCGGCGGACGGGUGAGUAACACGUGGGUAACCUGCCUGUAAGAUUGGGAUAACUCCGGGAAACCGGAGCUAAUACCGGAUAACAUCUUGAACCGCAUGGUUCAAGAUUGAAAGAUGGUUUCGGCUAUCACUUACAGAUGGACCCGCGGCGCAUUAGCUAGUUGGUGAGGUAACGGCUCACCAAGGCAACGAUGCGUAGCCGACCUGAGAGGGUGAUCGGCCACACUGGGACUGAGACACGGCCCAGACUCCUACGGGAGGCAGCAGUAGGGAAUCUUCCGCAAUGGACGAAAGUCUGACGGAGCAACGCCGCGUGAGCGAAGAAGGCCUUCGGGUCGUAAAGCUCUGUUGUUAGGGAAGAACAAGUACGAGAGUAACUGCUCGUACCUUGACGGUACCUAACCAGAAAGCCACGGCUAACUACGUGCCAGCAGCCGCGGUAAUACGUAGGUGGCAAGCGUUGUCCGGAAUUAUUGGGCGUAAAGCGCGCGCAGGCGGUUUCUUAAGUCUGAUGUGAAAGCCCACGGCUCAACCGUGGAGGGUCAUUGGAAACUGGGGAACUUGAGUGCAGAAGAGGAGAGUGGAAUUCCACGUGUAGCGGUGAAA
rnacentral:rRNA from 1 species